AUAAGAUUUUAAUUGAAUGCUAAAAGAAUGGAAAUUUAAAAAAAAACUUUUUUAAAAAUAAAAAUUGAAUUUUUUUUAAUUUGUGCAAAAACAAUUAUAUUUAUUAAAGACAAGAAGACCCUAAGAAUUUAAGAUUUUACAAUUAAAAAGUUUUUUUUUAAAAUCUUGAUUGGGGCGAUCAAAAAAUAUUAAUAACUUUUUAAAAUUUAAAUUGAUCUAUUAUUAAUAAACUAAUGAAUUAAAUACUCUAGGGAUAACAGCGUAAUAAUUUUUGAUAGAUCUUAUUGACAAAAUAGUUUGCGACCUCGAUGUUGGAUUAGGAUUCUUUUUUAAUGAAGAAGUUAAAAAAAGAAGUUUGUUCAACUUUUAAAUUC
rnacentral:rRNA from 1 species